UACGAAGGGAGCUAGCGUUGUUCGGAAUUACUGGGCGUAAAGGGCGCGUAGGCGGCUUGGCAAGUUGGAUGUGAAAGCCCAGGGCUCAACCCUGGAAUUGCAUUCAAGACUGCCUUGCUUGAAUUCGGUAGAGGUUGGUGGAAUUCCCAGUGUAGAGGUGAAAUUCGUAGAGGUUGGGAAGAACACCCGUGGCGAAGGCGGCCAACUGGACCGACAUUGACGCUGAGGCGCGAAAGCGUGGGGAUCAAACAGG
rnacentral:rRNA from 1 species